UACGUAGGUGGCAAGCGUUGUCCGGAUUUACUGGGCGUAAAGAGCGCGCAGGCGGUCGUUCAAGUCGAGUGUGAAAGCCCCCGGCUCAACUGGGGAGGGUCACUCGAUACUGAUCGACUCGAAGGCAGGAGAGGGAAGCGGAAUUCCCGGUGUAGUGGUGAAAUGCGUAGAUAUCUGGAGGAACACCGGUGGCGAAGGCGGCAUCCUGGACCAUUACUGACGCUGAGUGAGCGAAAGCCAGGGGAGCAAACGGG
rnacentral:rRNA from 1 species